rnacentral:ncRNA from 2 species
GCGAGCCGUGUGCUGUGAAAGCAGCUCGCACGGUUCUAACGGGGGCUUGAGGGAAACAUGCUUAAUAGUCGGAU